UGUGGCCCAUUCUACCAUGCUUGGGAGGGAGGCCAGCGUUUUGGCAUGGCAUGGCGGGCAGACUGCUGGGCCUGUCCGGAGGGGAGAGCAGGGCCAAGGCAAGGCAGUAGAAUAUGAGCUCUUUGAUGGUAGGAGCCACUAUGUCUUUGUACUCUCAACCUUAUACAGUUCUUGGAACAUGAUAUCACUGGGAUUGAAUACAUGGAACUGAAUCCAACUGAAUUGAAAGCCCUGGUGCCUAGCACAAUGCCUGGCAUACAAUAGGCACCUGAUAAGUACUUUUAAUAAACGUCCAGAACUAUACUCAAAGCCCUUCUAACUUGGUAGGAUCUGCCAGAAGCUGAGUUCUAAAAGGAUAUCCCAGAGACCCCAGGGUCACCUCUAUGAGAAGAUGCUAUUUGAAGAGUUUACCAAAGGGUAAUGAAAAUAAAAACAUGGAAAAAUAAAG